AUUGAACGCUGGCGGCAGGCCUAACACAUGCAAGUCGAGCGGAUGAAGGGAGCUUGCUCCUGGAUUCAGCGGCGGACGGGUGAGUAAUGCCUAGGAAUCUGCCUGGUAGUGGGGGAUAACGUCCGGAAACGGGCGCUAAUACCGCAUACGUCCUGAGGGAGAAAGUGGGGGAUCUUCGGACCUCACGCUAUCAGAUGAGCCUAGGUCGGAUUAGCUAGUUGGUGGGGUAAAGGCCUACCAAGGCGACGAUCCGUAACUGGUCUGAGAGGAUGAUCAGUCACACUGGAACUGAGACACGGUACAGACUCCUACGGGAGGCAGAAGUGGGAAAUAUUGGACAAUGGGCGAAAGCCUGAUCCAGCCAUGCCGCGUGUGUGAAGAAGGUCUUCGGAUUGUAAAGCACUUUAAGUUGGGAGGAAGGGCAGUAAGUUAAUACCUUGCUGUUUUGACGUUACCAACAGAAUAAGCACCGGCUAACUUCGUG
rnacentral:rRNA from 1 species